rnacentral:rRNA from 1 species
GACUCUCGGCAACGGAUAUCUCGGCUCACGCAUCGAUGA